GACGAACGCUGGCGGCGUGCCUAAUACAUGCAAGUUGAGCGCUGAAGGUUGGUACUUGUACCAACUGGAUGAGCAGCGAACGGGUGAGUAACGCGUGGGGAAUCUGCCUUUGAGCGGGGGACAACAUUUGGAAACGAAUGCUAAUACCGCAUAAAAACUUUAAACACAAGUUUUAAGUUUGAAAGAUGCAAUUGCAUCACUCAAAGAUGAUCCCGCGUUGUAUUAGCUAGUUGGUGAGGUAGAGGCUCACCAAGGCGAUGAUACAUAGCCGACCUGAGAGGGUGAUCAGCCACAUUGGGACUGUGACACGGCCCAAACUCCUACGGGAGGCAGCAGUAGGGAAUCUUCGGCGAUGGACGGAAGUCUGACCGAGCAACGCCGCGUGAGUGAAGAAGGUUUUCGGAUCGUAAAACUCUGUUGGUAGAGAAGAACGUUGGUGAGAGUGGAAAGCUCAUCAAGUGACGGUAACUACCCAGAAAGGGACGGCUAACUACGUG
rnacentral:rRNA from 1 species